CCUACGGGUGGCAGCAGUGGGGGAUAUUGCACAAUGGGGGAAACCCUGAUGCAGCGACGCCGCGUGUGGGAAGACGGUCCUCUGGAUUGUAAACCACUUUCCCCAGGGACGAAGAUGACGGUACCUGGGGAGGAAGCUCCGUCAAACUACGUGCCAGCAGCCGCGGUAAUACGUAGGGAGCGAGCGUUGUCCGGAAUUACUGGGUGUAAGGGGAGCGUAGGCGGGGGUGCAAGUUGGGUGUCAAAACUACGGGCUCAACUGGUAGUCGCACUCAAAACUGCAGCUCUUGAGUGAAGUAGAGGCAGGCGGAAUGCCUAGUGUAGCGGUGAAAUGCGUAGAUAUUAGGAAGAACACCAGUGGCGAAGGCGGCCUGCUGGGCUUUUACUGACGCUGAGGCUCGAAAGUGUGGGGAGCAAACAGGAUUAGAUACCCGGGUAGUC
rnacentral:rRNA from 1 species